rnacentral:lncRNA from 1 species
UCAUGAAGCUGUCAUCAGCUAUGAGCCUGGGCUGAGGCUGCUCAGCUUCUCCUGGGUGCUAUUUUUCUCCAACUGCAGCUUCAGCUUCUUGAUUGUAUAAUUUGCUUCCUCAAGUAUGAGCCAGGAAUAAUUGAGCUGUCUUGUCACAAUGUGUGGCAUACUGGAUCUAGGCUGUGCUGCAAUGCUUUUAGAGUUAUAUCCUGGGCAACUUUCUCUUCAGAUAGCCCCAAGAGAUGAAUUCAGCACCAGCUUUGAUGUUUUACUAGCUUCUGCUUUCUGGUACUUGAUUUUCUCCCACCCCGAACACAUGGGAUUCCAACCUGUGAAACUAAUUUUUGUGGCUAUGAAAGAGGUAGUGGUAGUUUAUGAGUAAACAUUCAGUCUGUUGCCACUAUCAUCAUGUGUGGUUCAUCAUGACUGUGAUGAGUAGGUAAAAGGCUCUUUGUGUCAUUCUCAUUUCCAAUUUUAAGCAGCUGCUUCAAGGAGUCUGGAAGUCAUUGACCAGUGGGAUCCUGCCUGUGUCUUUUCCCAUUAAAGCCAUCCUGUAUGAAGUGGUAUCCUUUACCAUCUAGCACAUCUGCCGCCCCCAUUUCAAAAGGCAUACUCAUCUUUAUCUCAACAUUCUCAUACAGUUCCUUAUGUCCAUGCACCUCCAAUGUCCCCUUUGAUGUCUUUGAGGUUUUCAUCUUCCAUGUCUGCUAUU